UACUAGAGUAGCACUCGCAUAUCAAUAAGCGGAGGAAAAGAAACUAACAAGGAUUCCCUUAGUAACGGCGAGUGAAGCGGGAAGAGCUCAAAUUUGAAAUCUUCAAGGUUCUACCUUGACGAAUUGUAGUUUAAUAGAAGUGUUUUCUGUUAGUAGGAGUGGCAAAAGUUCUUUGGAAUAGGACAUCAUAGAGGGUGAGAAUCCCGUAUUUGGUCAUUCCUUCUAGCUUUGUGAUACACUUUCAACGAGUCGGAUUGUUUGGGAAUGCAGUCCAAAAUGGGUGGUAAAUUUCAUCUAAAGCUAAAUAUUGGCGAGAGACCGAUAGCGAACAAGUACCGUGAGGGAAAGAUGAAAAGAACUUUGAAAAGAGAGUUAAACAGUACGUGAAAUUGUCAAAAGGGAAGCGUUUGACACCAGUGUUGUUUUUCCGAAAAUCAAUUACGAAUGUUUUGUUUUUGAAGAGUUAUGACUUCAUCGGCUUGCUUCCUUUCCUUACGAAACUUUCUUAAUGCACUUUUCGGUUAACAAGUCAACAUCAAUUUCUUUUGUUGUAAAAGGGUACGAGGAAGGUGGCUUUCUUUUCGGAGAAAGUGUUUAUAGCCUUGUACCUCUGCAAUCGGAGAGAUUGAGGUCUGCAGCGUAGAUCCUUCGGGGUUAGAUACAUUUGUGCUAAGUUAUAGCUUUUCAUAGACAACUUGUUGACUAUGUUAAGUCUUGUAGCUUACUCGCUUAGGCUAUUUUACCUACGCUUAGGAUGUUGAAGAUGUAGCACAUCAU
rnacentral:rRNA from 1 species